rnacentral:rRNA from 1 species
UACAGAGGGGGCAAGCGUUGUUCGGAAUUACUGGGCGUAAAGGGCGCGUAGGCGGCCUGUUAAGUCGAACGUGAAAUCCCCGGGCUCAACCCGGGAACUGCGUCCGAUACUGGCAGGCUUGAAUCCGGGAGAGGGAUGCGGAAUUCCAGGUGUAGCGGUGAAAUGCGUAGAUAUCUGGAGGAACACCGAUGGCGAAGGCAGCCCCCUGGGCUGAGAUUGACGCUCAGGCACGAAAGCGUGGGGAGAAAACAGG